rnacentral:rRNA from 1 species
GAUGAACGCUGGCGGUAUGCCUAACACAUGCAAGUCGUACGAGAGUUUUUAACUCUAGUGGCGGACGGGUGAGUAACACGUGAGAAUUUGCCUUUAGGAGGGGGACAACAAUUGGAAACGAAUGCUAAUACCCCAUAUGCUUUCGAGUGAAAUGGAUUUUAUCCGCCUAGAGAGAAGCUCGCGGCUGAUUAGCUUGUUGGUAAGGUAAGAGCUUACCAAGGCGACGAUCAGUAUCUGGUUUGAGAGGACGGAUCAGACACACUGGAACUGAGACACGGUCCAGACUCCUACGGGAGGCAGCAGUGGGGAAUUUUCCGCAAUGGCGAAAGCCUGACGGAGGCAAUACCGCGUGAGGGAAGAAUGCCUAUGGGUUGUAAA